CGGACGGGUGAGUAAUGUCUGGGAAACUGCCCGAUGGAGGGGGAUAACUACUGGAAACGGUAGCUAAUACCGCAUAACGUCGCAAGACCAAAGAGGGGACCUUAGGGCCUCUUGCCAUCGGAUGUGCCCAGAUGGGAUUAGCUAGUAGGUGGGGUAAUGGCUCACCUAGGCGACGAUCCCUAGCUGGUCUGAGAGGAUGACCAGCCACACUGGAACUGAGACACGGUCCAG
rnacentral:rRNA from 1 species